UACGUAGGUGGCAAGCGUUAUCCGGAAUUACUGGGCGUAAAGCGCACGCAGGCGGUCUGUUAAGUUUGACGUGAAAGCUCCCGGCUUAACUGGGAGAGGUCGUUGAAGACUGGCAGACUUGAGGCGAUGAGAGGGGUGUAGAAUUCCCGGUGUAGUGGUGGAAUGCGUAGAGAUCGGGAGGAACACCAGUGGCGAAGGCGGCCUUCUGGACCAAUACUGACGCUCAUGCACGAAAGCGUGGGGAGCAAACAGG
rnacentral:rRNA from 1 species